rnacentral:rRNA from 1 species
AACGAACGCUGGCGGCAGGCCUAAUACGUGCAAGUCGAGGGGCCCGUAAGGGCACCGGCGCACGGGUGCGUAACGCGUGGGAAUAUACCCUUCACUACGGAACAACGUCGGGAAACUGACGCUAAUACCGUAUGAUGACUCCGGUCCAAAGAUUUAUCGGUGAAGGAUUAGCCCGCGUCUGAUUAGCUAGUUGGUGAGGUAACGGCUCACCAAGGCGACGAUCAGUAGCUGGUCCGAGAGGAUGAUCAGCCACACUGGGACUGAGACACGGCCCAGACUCCUACGGGAGGCAGCAGUAAGGAAUAUUGGACAAUGGAGGAAACUCUGAUCCAGCCAUGCCGCGUGAGUGAAGAAGGCCUUCGGGUUGUAAAGCUCUUUUAAUCGUGAAGAUAAUGACGGUAGCGAUAGAAAAAGCUCCGGCUAAAUUCGAGCCAGCAGCCGCCGUAA